GGGCAGGUGGCGGAACUGGCAGACGCGCAGGCCUCAGGAGUCUGUGGUGAUGAGCCGUGCGGGUUCAAAUCCCGCCCUGCCCA
rnacentral:tRNA from 1 species